AUUCGGUACUUUAAUGGACACUUCUCAUUCACCACCCUUGGAGUCAGUCUUGACAAUAGAUACACAAACAUGAGUUCAGGAGUGUAUACGUUCCGAGCUCACGGUCAGAUUUACCACAACGUCUUCUCAUUUGGUCCAACUCAAGAUGGACCUAAGCAUUUGGAGCUCUACUUCUAUGAUGAUGAUCCAAGUUUACAACAUAGGUUUCGGUGCUCCCCAAACCUAGACCGAGAUGUCAUUCGUAAGCUUGUCGACAUCCUCAAGGAUAAUCCUUAUUCUGAGACAUUCAUGAAUCUAGGUGGAGUCGAUGACCUUGAGGAAUACCGUAUUGAACUAAACACCGACAUGAGGUUGGACCAACGGAGAUAUAACUUGCCUAUAUCAUCGGAGGUUGCGGCUAUUUGGGUUGAGGGUAAUGAACUAUGUAAGCACUUUGAUCGUAGCAUAGUACUGUUUGGUAACGACAACAAGAGAUAUAGCAUCCAGCCAUAUUAUGGAUGCUAUGAUCCGUUGUCUUACCCUUUAUUCUUUCCAAGAGGGGAGAUUGGUUGGCAUCCCGAAAUCCCAAAGAAUGGCGUCAACUUGAAUGAGAUACUUCAAUCUCGUCGCAGUGGUCGACAUAGUCUAGGUACAUAUACAAAUAGUCGAUUAUGCGUAUCUGUUAGAGACUACUAUUGCUACAAGUUUCAAAUACGUCGUGGUGUAUUUAACACUAUGCUAUACGGUAAACAACUGUGCCAACAGUAUGUGGUUGAUAUGUACAUCAAGGUUGAAAGCUCAAGAUUGGACUAUAUCAAAAAUCACCAGAAACAAAUACGUGCUGAUCUAUACCAAGGUGUUGUUGAUAGCCUUCAAGCUGGGGAAAACCGUGCGGAUGCAGUGGGCAAAUGGACUAUACUUCCUACAUCAUUUAUUGGGGGAAAAAGAGAUAGGAGACGAAGGUAUCUUGAUGCCAUGGCCUUGGUGCAAAAGUAUGGGAAACCAGAUAUAUUUUUAACCAUGACUUGCAAUCCGAAUUGGGGUGAGAUAAUUAGUGAGCUGGAGCCUGGACAAACCCCACAGGAUCGCCCUGAUCUUAUCGUACGAGUAUUUCGAGCAAAGUUGGAAGACCUCAAGAUACAACUUUUUAAGAAGCACAUGCUCGGUAAGGUAGCAGCAUAUGUGUAUGUCGUUGAGUUUCAGAAAAGAGGUCUACCACAUGCUCAUUUCCUCCUAAUCAUGGAGGGGAGGUACAAGCUAACUUGCCCAGAGCAAUAUGAUUGUCUAAUAUCUGCUGAAUUGCCAGACAAAUCCAAGUACCCAGAGUUGUACAAAAUGGUCGUCAAGCACAUGAUGCAUGGCCCGUGUGGAGUCCUCAACCCCAAGAACGUGUGCAUGCAAAAUGGUAGCUGCAAGAACUACUAUCCACGACCAUUUAAUGCGUCAACCCUUCAGGGAAAGGACUCAUAUCCCAUAUACCGGAGGAGAGAUGAUGGACGUCAUGCGAAGGUACGGGGUGAAGAUUUAGACAAUAGGUGGGUUGUUCCAUACAAUCCUUACCUACUAAGAAGGUAUAACUGCCACAUCAAUGUUGAGGUUUGCUCAAGCAUAAAAGCUGUGAAGUACCUCUUUAAAUACAUAUAUAAGGGGCAUGAU
rnacentral:rRNA from 1 species